GGAAGCGUGGCCGAGUGGUUUAAGGCAACGGUCUUGAAAACCGUCGAUGGGCAACUAUCCGUGAGUUCGAAUCUCACCGCUUCCGCCA
rnacentral:tRNA from 55 species